rnacentral:rRNA from 1 species
AAGAACAAGUGCCGCAGGCAAUGGCGGCACCUUUGACGGUACCUUGCGAGAAAGCCACGGCUAACUACGUGCCAGCAGCCGCGGUAAUACGUAGGUGGCAAGCGUUGUCCGGAAUUAUUGGGCGUAAAGCGCGCGCAGGCGGCCUCUUAAGUCUGAUGUGAAAGCCCCCGGCUCAACCGGGGAGGGCCAUUGGAAACUGGGAGGCUUGAGUAUAGGAGAGAAGAGUGGAAUUCCACGUGUAGCGGUGAAAUGCGUAGAGAUGUGGAGGAACACCAGUGGCGAAGGCGACUCUUUGGCCUAUAACUGACGCUGAGGGCCGCGAAAGCGUGGGGAGCAAACCAGGAUUAGAUACCCUCGGUAG